rnacentral:rRNA from 1 species
AACGUAGGACGCGAGCGUUAUCCGGAGUUACUGGGCGUAAAGCGCGGGCAGGCGGUCUGACAAGUCUGAUGUGAAAUCUCCGGGCUUAACCGGGAGAGGCCAUUGGAAACUGACAGGCUGGAGGGCAGUAGAGGUAGGCGGAAUUCCGGGUGGAGUGGUGAAAUGCGUAGAGAUCCGGAGGAACACCAGAGGCGAAGGCGGCCUACUGGGCUGCACCUGACGCUGAGGAGCGAAAGUGUGGGGAGCGAACAGG